rnacentral:lncRNA from 1 species
AAGUCACUGUGUCACAGUGAAAACCCAAUGUGGGAGGAAAGAACAGCAUUCGGAUUACUGACCUGCACCUGUUUGGGGGACCUGGGACAAGUAUACUGUGGUUGCCUUUAAAUGUUUGCAUUACUUAGAGUAGAAACACAAAGUCAGCUUCUUGUGGCAUUGAGUCUUGUAAAAUUGUCUCCUAAUCUGCAGUGUGAUGUCCUCCCACCUUGUUUGCUUGUUCAUGGCUGAUUCUCUUGGUAGAAUAUGCAUUACUCCAAAAAUGUUCACUGCUGUUUUGCCUGAAUUCCACCGCCAUGGAAGUUCUCCCCACUUUUGAGGAACUGUGGCUAGAACAAUGGACUUGUACUACUUAACGUGCUUUUAUAAAUAGAUUUAGAGUGGAGCAGUUUAGUGAUGAGGUAGGAUGUGUUGCUAAUACUGUUUUGCUGAACUGCUGAACCCAGAAACAUUUGAAGACAGGCAGACAAAGUAGUAGGUCACCAUGCUGUAAGGCUGCCUUGGGCAGGAAUAGUGCCAUUUCAUGGCUUCCUGUUUUCUAUAUAGGAAGAAGAACUUUACAACUGACACUGUCCAGUUAGUCACAACAAGCCAUUCCAAUUUUACUGCUGUAUGUGACAAUAGUCUGAAAGCAUGCCUUACCAGACAGAUGAUGACUGCCAUUCAGAUUCUGCCUCCAUCAAUUGCCUAGGAUUCCCUGAAAUGGGAGGACUCAAAGUAUCCUUUGGCCCCUCAGAAAACAGCCAGAGGACUAAGUAUGCAAGGUCGCCAGCCUCAAUUUCAUCAUUUGCUUUUCUGCUUUUAAAUGCUAUUUGCAAGGAACUUACAGCAGUCUGUGUCACACGUUGUUUUUCAUUCUUUUUAGAUUAAUGAGGUGGUCUGCUCAAGUUGGAUGGGCCAAAUUAAUGAAUGCAGUUUGUAUCAUCAAAAAAAGCAAAUCAACGAUUUUCAACUGGCCAAAGAAUCUUGGUAUAGGAGGUAUGUGAGAGCACAGAAAGCAAAGGUCUGCACACUUUCCCGUGACGCCCCUGCAAGUCUCUGCCCUUUCCAGGCGGUUCUGUUCAGUGGGGCAGGAUUUAAGGAGGGAAGCAUUCAUGAAAAGGUAAAAGCCAGACAUAUCUUUUUCCUGAUUUAUGUGCUUCUAUCUAGCAUAAAUAAGAAAUAAUCUCCCCAGCC